rnacentral:rRNA from 1 species
UUGAGCGGAGAUAUAUGGAGCUUGCUUUAUAUAACUUAGCAGCGAACGGGUGAGUAACACGUAGAUAAUCUAUCCUAUACUGGGGAAUAGCCCGAUGAAAGUUGGAUUAAUACCGCAUAUAGCUAUAUAGUUGCAUGAUUAUGUAGUGAAAGAUUUAUUGGUAUAGGAGGAGUCUGCGGCACAUUAGCUAGUAGGUGAGGUAAAGGCUUACCUAGGCGACGAUGUGUAGCCGGUCUGAGAGGAUGAACGGCCACAAUGGAACUGAGACACGGUCCAUACUCCUACGGGAGGCAGCAGUGGGGAAUAUUGCACAAUGGGGGAAACCCUGAUGCAGCAACGCCGCGUGAGUGAAGAAGGUUUUCGGAUUGUAAAGCUCUGUUAGCAGGGAAGAGGAAGGACGGUACCUGCAGAGGAAGCCACGGCUAACUACGUGCCAGCAGCCGCGGUAAUACGUAGGUGGCAAGCGUUGUUCGGAAUAACUGGGCGUAAAGGAUGCGUAGGCGGUUAAACAAGUUAUAUGUUAAAUAUAUAGGCUUAACCUGUAGAAAGCAUAUAAAACUGUUUAACUAGAGUGCAGGAGAGGUAAGUGGAAUUCCUAGUGUAGCGGUGAAAUGCGUAGAGAUUAGGAAGAACACCAGUGGCGAAGGCGACUUACUGGACUGUAACUGACGCUGAGGCAUGAGAGCAUGGGGAGCAAACAGGAUUAGAUACCCUGGUAGUCCAUGCUGUAAACGAUGGGUACUAGGUGUGGGUUGUGAAUAAACAUUCGUGCCGUCGCAAA